CGCGCCCUUGCGUCGUGGUGUCAGUAAUGGGGAUAUGUAAAUGGGAUAGCGGGUGCUCCCGGACCGUGCUGAAUUGUCAGUCCUUGGUGAUGCCACCUCCUGGUUAAGGAGUCAUAAAGGUGCCGUGAAGAGUUGAGAUUCCUACUGGAGGAUCCUGUUGGACAUCACUGGUUGUCCAAGCAGUCGGACUGGGAGUCCACACGCUCUCCCUGACCUGCAUUUACACGGCUGUCCUGCAGCAUGGGCUUGGAAGGAAAGCACAAGUUCAGUCCCAUCCCCAGCAUCCUCAGCACCAUCCCAGUGGACACUGCACAGCCCACUGCAUUUCGUCCUCUCAGAGUUUCUUAAAAUAUAAUGAGAGUAUUUUAUCAGCAAAAAACCUGGCAAUAGAAAAGUCUUGUCUAUUCCGGACAAGAAAGUUCAAUCGUUGACAAAAAUGCUGUUUCUAAUUGUAUUCAUCUAGGUUUGGAUCAACUGAUAUGAAUUAGAGAGAACAGCAAUUAAUGCAGCUAGAUCCUGACAUUAAUAGCUUUACCCGCCUCUUUGGUUGCAUAGAUACUUGAAAAUGUUUUGGACUAUGAGAGUCAUCGUUGAUAUUUGAGAACUGUAUCACAGUAUUUUUUAAAAAUAGAGUUCUUAUUGGGUAA